rnacentral:rRNA from 1 species
AGAGUUUGAUCAUGGCUCAGGACGAACGCUGGCGGCGUGCCUAAUACAUGCAAGUCGAACGAAGCUUUCUUUCACCGAAUGCUUGCAUUCACCGAAAGAAGCUUAGUGGCGAACGGGUGAGUAACACGUAGGCAACCUGCCCAAAAGAGGGGGAUAACACUUGGAAACAGGUGCUAAUACCGCAUAACCAUGAACACCGCAUGAUGUUCAUGUAAAAGACGGCUUUUACUGUCACUUUUGGAUGGGCCUGCGGCGUAUUAACUUGUUGGUGGGGUAACGGCCUACCAAGGUGAUGAUACGUAGCCGAACUGAGAGGUUGAUCGGCCACAUUGGGACUGAGACACGGCCCAAACUCCUACGGGAGGCAGCAGUAGGGAAUCUUCCACAAUGGACGAAAGUCUGAUGGAGCAACGCCGCGUGAAUGAAGAAGGCCCUCGGGUCGUAAAAUUCUGUUGUCAGAGAAGGACGUGCGUGAGAGUAACUGUCCACGUAUUGACGGUAUCUGACCAGAAAGCCACGGCUAACUACGUGCCAGCAGCCGCGGUAAUACGUAGGUGGCGAGCGUUGUCCGGAUUUAUUGGGCGUAAAGGGAACGCAGGCGGUCUUUUAAGUCUGAUGUGAAAGCCUUCGGCUUAACCGAAGUAGUGCAUUGGAAACUGGAAGACUUGAGUGCAGAAGAGGAGAGUGGAACUCCAUGUGUAGCGGUGAAAUGCGUAGAUAUAUGGAAGAACACCAGUGGCGAAAGCGGCUCUCUGGUCUGUAACUGACGCUGAGGUUCGAAAGCGUGGGUAGCAAACAGGAUUAGAUACCCUGGUAGUCCACGCCGUAAACGAUGAGUGCUAAGUGUUGGAGGGUUUCCGCCCUUCAGUGCUGCAGCUAACGCAUUAAGCACUCCGCCUGGGGAGUACGGUCGCAAGACUGAAACUCAAAGGAAUUGACGGGGGCCCGCACAAGCGGUGGAGCAUGUGGUUUAAUUCGAAGCAACGCGAAGAACCUUACCAGGUCUUGACAUCUUCUGACAAUUCCAGAGAUGGAACGUUCCCUUCGGGGACAGAAUGACAGGUGGUGCAUGGUUGUCGUCAGCUCGUGUCGUGAGAUGUUGGGUUAAGUCCCGCAACGAGCGCAACCCUUAUUGUCAGUUGCCAUCAUUAAGUUGGGCACUCUGGCGAGACUGCCGGUGACAAACCGGAGGAAGGUGGGGAUGACGUCAAAUCAUCAUGCCCCUUAUGACCUGGGCUACACACGUGCUACAAUGGACGGUACAACGAGUCGCUAACUCGCGAGGGCAAGCUAAUCUCUUAAAGCCGUUCUCAGUUCGGAUUGCAGGCUGCAACUCGCCUGCAUGAAGUCGGAAUCGCUAGUAAUCGCGAAUCAGCAUGUCGCGGUGAAUACGUUCCCGGGCCUUGUACACACCGCCCGUCACACCAUGAGAGUUUGUAACACCCAAAGUCGGUGGGGUAACCUUUUGGAGCCAGCCGCCUAAGGUGGGACAGAUGAUUGGGGUGAAGUCGUAACAAGGUA